UAUAUACAACACAAGAGUUCACCCCUAUAUCAGUGUAAUAAGAUAAAGUUUUUACCCUUGUCCCUAUAUGUAACAUAAUUAGGAUAAGGUGUUCACCCCUAUGUCUCUGUUAGAUAAGGUUUUUACCCCUGCCCCUAUGUGCAACAUAAGGUGUUCACCCCUGCCCAUAGGGGCAUAUUGCAACAUUAGGUGCUCACCUCUGCCCCUAUAUGUAACACGACUCAAACUAGAAUUAACUUGAAAAUAUUACGCCACUUCCUCUGUCGUUAAACAUUGCGUCAUUAUGUUUGCCCGUAUAUGUAACAUGCCAUGUAAUGACGUUUCGAGCAUUGUAGCUAAUCAGUUACUUUUAUUCAUCUUAGGCAACAUCAAUUCAACUACAGUAUGUUAGAAAAUACCAAUGUGUACAAGCCAAUCAAGUCCAACGUAUUGUCAUUUUCGGAUGUUGUAAUAUUGUUCAAUUGGAUUUGAGAUGAAGUACUUGAAAAGGUGAGUUCCAAUUAGUUGUGUAUUGUUAGCAAACUAAGUAGUGUAUGAAUAAAAACAACAUUUUUUAUAAACGUUUCGACUUUAUUUACAGUAGUCAUCGUCAGGAUUAGUCUUUAUUUAGUCAUCAUCAGAGUUAGUCUUUAUUUAGUCAUGAUCAGGAUCGACUUUAUUUAGUAAUCAUGAUGACUAAAAAAAGUUCAAAUGUUGAAUAAAAAAAUAUUGCCUUUAUUCAGAGUUACCGUUGUUGUGUAUUUUAUGCAAAUGCUCAGUGGUUCCCGCAAUUAUCAUUACUGUGAUUAUCAGGGCCGCUGGGGGGGGGGAGGGGGAUUGCCCUGGGCAGCCACCUUAAUAGGGCCCCAACUUGAGAGGGAGAGCCUAAAAUUGAGCAGGUUCUUUAAAUUGGUCACAGCAUUUUUGAAAUUGAGGGCCCUUACAGUACCUCCACAUGCAAUCUAGCUAAGGUCUAGUUGGGUCUAGCUUAAAAAUAAUGAUGUCAUGAGGCCCCCAGGGAAGAUUUGCCCAGGGCAAAUUCUCUCGAGGGGGCCGAGGGUAUAAACCUUAUCUUACACUGAUAUAGGGGGAACACCUUAUCUUAGACAUUGGGUCUAGCUUAAAAAUAAUGAUGUCAUGAGGCCCCCAGGGAAGAUUUGCCCAGGGCAAAUUCUCUCGAGGGGGCCGAGGGUAUAAACCUUAUCUUACACUGAUAUAGGGG
rnacentral:lncRNA from 1 species